AUUGAACGCUGGCGGCAGGCUUAACACAUGCAAGUCGAGCGGAGAUGAGGUGCUUGCACCUUAUCUUAGCGGCGGACGGGUGAGUAAUGCUUAGGAAUCCGCCUAUUAGUGGGGGACAACAUUCCGAAAGGAAUGCUAAUCACGCAUACGUCCUACGGGAGAAAGCAGGGGAUCUUCGGACCCUGGGCUAAUAGAUGAGUCUCAGUCGGACUAGCUAGUUGGUGGGGUAAAGGCCUACCAAGGCGACGAUCUGCAGCGGGCCUGUGAGGCUGAUCCGCCACACUGGGGCUGAGACACGGCCCAUACUCCUACGGGAGGCAGAAGUGGGGAAUAUUGGACAAUGGGGGGAACCCUGAUCCAGCCAUGCCGCGUGUGUGAAGAAGGCCUUAUGGUUGUAAAGCUCUUGUGGUCGGGAAGAAAGCGCCUUGCCUAAUACGCGAGGUGGUUGACGGUACCGGCAGAAUAAGCACCGGCUAACUACGUGCCAGCCGCCGCAGUAAAAC
rnacentral:rRNA from 1 species